GUGUAAUUGUACAAUGCGAAUAAUAUAAUAUGUACAUCACAUUCGUUUAAUAAUAUUAUUUUAUUGGGUAACGAUUCUAAAUACAUUUUUUAACAAUUAGGUAAUAAUAAUUUUAAUAAUAUUAUUAUCGAUAAAUAUAUAAUAUACACAUCACAUAGGUAGUGUACAGGCUGUUUUUUUAUCCUGCGAUUUUCUCGGGUGAUUUUAAGUAGGAUUUAAUGUCUAGCUGUUUUUUUUUUUUUUUAAACAUUACAAAAUGGACGCGUUUAAGUUUCGUUUCAACACUUGUCUUCAAAUGUGUGCCUCACUUGUCUUUAUAUAUAAAAUUAGUGUAAAACUUUUGGUUUUAAAGUGGUUAACCUUUCGUUUCACACAGAUUCAAAAAUCAACAAUUUUCCAAAUAAUAUCAAUAUAAUGCAUAACACUAAUAUCGGAUAGACCGAUUAUAGGUAAGCAAUAAACAGUUUAAAAUUUUAACCCAAGGUUGGACUACCUUAUCAAAACAGACUGGAAUAUAUUUAUUAUAUUGGCCUCAAAUUAAACACAGAUAUAUCGCCAAAUAUUUUCCCUUGAAUGCGUCCAUAUUGACGACUAAAUACCGCCAAUAAAUAGCCUAUGCUCUAUACUGUAGCUUCUGUAGCUUAUUUCAGGCCUCUAAAUAAUCUACUGCAUUCCCGACGGCUUAUUGAAGGCCUUUCGAUAGCGUACAGUAAUUCCUGACGGCUUAUCACCAGCCUCUCGGGCAGUACUUUACAGCUUAACAGAACACCUAAGUCAUAUCUCAUGUUUUAUUGGACUCGGUUAAUCACUUACUCCGAUUAUUCAGUCAUCCCAUCUGAGCUUCCAUAUUUGCCUAACUCACUGCUGUUCGGAGAUUUUCCAGUGUCCCAGUGGCUAAGUCUAACUUUGGUGAUAAAUGCCACAUCCACUUUGAAACGAUAACCCUUUCUUCUUCUCCAGUCUAAAUUUUACACCGUCUGAUUAUUUUCUAACUCAUAUUAAUGGUAAAUCCGAUGUUAGUGUUAUUCAUGUGUCAAACAUUUUUGGAAAUAUAUCAUCUUUUCCAAUCCAGAUUGAAAACGCGGCAGGAUUUGCUACGUACAAAUUAAAAUUCGAUAUGGGUUUAAUUUAUGGAGUAUGCAAUAAAAGUGAAAAGUUGAAAAUGUCGUAAAUACUAUCAAACGUUUUUUUAUUCUAUUAUAAUGACUGUUAACAACAAAAAUCAAUUUCACUAUAUAGGAGGUACCCACUUAAAAUCUUCGUAGACAAUCGAUGGAUCAUGAUAAAAUAAAUUACCCUGUUUA